GUUGGUGAUCUUCAAGCUCUUAUUAGCACAAGUUGUCCUCAUCAAAACCAUGACAUAUAAAGAGAGCUUUCCAAAGUGUUCCUCUUGACAUGCACACUUUCAGUUUUAAGUUGGUUUUUCUCAAUAAUGCUUAAGAUAAGCGCCAUAAAAGUGUAUGAAUUUUAGGUAUGUUUGGCACUUAUCAGUGCUGCCGAUAGAAGUCAAAAUCCCAUCAUUGAGAGUGCUUGCUGAAGCUGAAUUAGAAGAGGCAGAAUGGGUCCAAGCCCGACAUGAUCAGUUGAAUCUUAUUGAAGGGAAAAGGUUGGUAGCCAUAUGUCAUUGUCAAUUAUACCAGAGAAGGAUCAUGAGGGCACAUGCUAAAAAGGUACACCCCCGAAUAUUCAGGGAAGGUGAUAUGGUACUCAGGAAGAUUUUAC
rnacentral:lncRNA from 1 species